GUGGUGGUGGUGCCCUCCGCUUCGAAGAAGAGAGAAGAAGAAGAUGAUCUCUGUUCAAGAGACCCCUCGGCCCCAGGGGGUGAAAUUUGGGGGGGACAGGUGUCCCAAAAGGAGAGGGACUGUGCUCUCUUUGGAACUGGACAAAGUAUCCUUAAAGUGAAAAACCCUAGAAGCAGCUCUGAUUCAUGUGCAGUGGUGAGAGCACUGGACAUGGAAGGAAUGUGAUGCAAGAGGGACUCCUCUCUUCUCGAGGAACUGAGAAUUGGUUAUCUAAAGGGUGGCAAUGGAAUUGGGAAUUUGGUGGGGGGAGGAGGAAGAAUUUGGAAGGUUUUCAUCUUAUGUUCUAUGUGUUUUGUGUGUCUUCCUUUGUAGUUUUAGGUUAAUAAAAGUUUUUUCCCCUUUAACCUUAA